CAUAAACUUUGUGGUUUGUUUUGAUCAAUUAAAUCUGCGCAAUUAGCUAUAUAUAGAAGUGCAAGUUUCAAAAUUGUAUUCUAAAAACCAGAAAGAUAUCAGGAUGUGGUGUGUUUUGGCUUUAACAUUGUCUGUAUUUGUCUUCGGAAGUGUAGACGCUGCAAAGGGUUGCAGAUGUAAAGGAGAAGUACUCAACCACGAACAAGAAUACUUUUGUAAUGCUGAUUUUGUACUUCGUGUAACUGUUCUGCGUCAAAAGAGAUUGAAUUACAACCGCGGAAUAAAAUACUUUGUGAGAGUUACUGAAGCAUUCAAAAGCAAUCUUUAUAAAGGAAAGGAAACUACUUUAAUUACUGGCACUGCUGCUCAAUGUGGUGUAGUCCUGGAUGGAAAGGACUUCCUUGUAACAGGAAACGUUGAAAAUGGACGAAAUACAUUAUCUUUAUGUAAUAGCUGGAUUGCAAGGUGGAGUACCUUGACAAAAUUGGAAAGAAGAACCCUAAGAACUGGAGGUUAUGCUAAGACAUGUACAAACAACUGUGACGUUGCAGUAAGAUGCUCUAAAGGGGACAUUAACUGCUGUAGGGUAUCCCAAGCACCAUGCCGAGGAACCGUUUGUAGCCGAAUCUAUGGGCGAAAAUGCGGAUGGACUUCCUGUUAUUGAUGUUACGGUUUUCCGUUAGCAAAAUAAAAUGUUUAGAACCAAAAUAAAAUCUUAUUGUGAUAUUA